rnacentral:rRNA from 1 species
CCUGGCUCAGGAUGAACGCUAGCUACAGGCUUAACACAUGCAAGUCGAGGGGCAGCAUGGUCUUAGCUUGCUAAGGCCGAUGGCGACCGGCGCACGGGUGAGUAACACGUAUCCAACCUGCCGUCUACUCUUGGACAGCCUUCUGAAAGGAAGAUUAAUACAAGAUGGCAUCAUGAGUCCGCAUGUUCACAUGAUUAAAGGUAUUCCGGUAGACGAUGGGGAUGCGUUCCAUUAGAUAGUAGGCGGGGUAACGGCCCACCUAGUCUUCGAUGGAUAGGGGUUCUGAGAGGAAGGUCCCCCACAUUGGAACUGAGACACGGUCCAAACUCCUACGGGAGGCAGCAGUGAGGAAUAUUGGUCAAUGGGCGAGAGCCUGAACCAGCCAAGUAGCGUGAAGGAUGACUGCCCUAUGGGUUGUAAACUUCUUUUAUAAAGGAAUAAAGUCGGGUAUGGAUACCCGUUUGCAUGUACUUUAUGAAUAAGGAUCGGCUAACUCCGUGCCAGCAGCCGCGGUAAUACGGAGGAUCCGAGCGUUAUCCGGAUUUAUUGGGUUUAAAGGGAGCGUAGAUGGAUGUUUAAGUCAGUUGUGAAAGUUUGCGGCUCAACCGUAAAAUUGCAGUUGAUACUGGAUAUCUUGAGUGCAGUUGAGGCAGGCGGAAUUCGUGGUGUAGCGGUGAAAUGCUUAGAUAUCACGAAGAACUCCGAUUGCGAAGGCAGCCUGCUAAGCUGCAACUGACAUUGAGGCUCGAAAGUGUGGGUAUCAAACAGGAUUAGAUACCCUGGUAGUCCACACGGUAAACGAUGAAUACUCGCUGUUUGCGAUAUACUGCAAGCGGCCAAGCGAAAGCGUUAAGUAUUCCACCUGGGGAGUACGCCGGCAACGGUGAAACUCAAAGGAAUUGACGGGGGCCCGCACAAGCGGAGGAACAUGUGGUUUAAUUCGAUGAUACGCGAGGAACCUUACCCGGGCUUAAAUUGCAGAUGAAUUACGGUGAAAGCCGUAAGCCGCAAGGCAUCUGUGAAGGUGCUGCAUGGUUGUCGUCAGCUCGCGCCGUGAGGUGUCGGCUUAAGUGCCAUAACGAGCGCAACCCUUGUUGUCAGUUACUAACAGGUUCCGUAGAGGACUCUGACAAGACUGCCAUCGUAAGAUGUGAGGAAGGUGGGGAUGACGUCAAAUCAGCACGGCCCUUACGUCCGGGGCUACACACGUGUUACAAUGGGGGGUACAGAGGGCCGCUACCACGCGAGUGGAUGUCAAUCCCCAAAACCUCUCUCAGUUCGGACUGGAGUCUGCAACCCGACUCCACGAAGCUGGAUUCGCUAGUAAUCGCGCAUCAGGCACGGCGCGGUGAAUACGCUCCCAGGCCUUGUACACACCGCCC